rnacentral:rRNA from 1 species
GAUGAACGCUGGCGGCGUGCCUAAUACGUGCAAGUCGAGCGAAUGGAUUAAGAGCUUGCUCUUAUGAAGUUAGCGGCGGACGGGUGAGUAACACGUGGGUAACCUGCCCAUAAGACUGGGAUAACUCCGGGAAACCGGGGCUAAUACCGGAUAACAUUUUGAACCGCAUGGUUCGAAAUUGAAAGGCGGCUUCGGCUGUCACUUAUGGAUGGACCCGCGUCGCAUUAGCUAGUUGGUGAGGUACGGCUCACCAAGGCAACGAUGCGUAGCCGACCUGAGAGGGUGAUCGGCCACACUGGGACUGAGACACGGCCCAGACUCCUACGGGAGGCAGCAGUAGGGAAUCUUCCGCAAUGGACGAAAGUCUGACGGAGCAACGCCGCGUGAGUGAUGAAGGCUUUCGGGUCGUAAAACUCUGUUGUUAGGGAAGAACAAGUGCUAGUUGAAUAAGCUGACACCUUGACGGUACACAACCAGAAAGCCACGGCUAACUACGUGCCAGCCGCCGCGGUAA